rnacentral:lncRNA from 1 species
AGCCUCACUGCCGCCUUGCAGUUUGAUCUCAGACUGCUGUGCUAGCAAUCAGCGAGACUCCCUGGGUGUAGAACCCUCCGAGCCAGUCUUGAGAAAGGUCCUGCAAUUGGUCCAUCAGCACCUUAAAUAUACAGAUGAAGAUGCUGCUGAAGCAAAGACAUAAUGAUAUGCUCAAGUUCAUUUUCAGAGUUCUUCGAGGAGCCUUCUGAUUAAGGUCCAUUGUUUGUUGCGGGAAGUCAGGGACCCCGAACGGAGGGACCAGCUGGAGCCAAGACAGAAGAACAUAAAUUGUGAAGAUUUCAUGGACAUUUAUCAGUUCCCAAAAUUAAUACUUUUAUAAUUUUUUACACCUGUCUUUACUGCAGUCUCCAAACAUAAAUUGUGAAGAUUUCAUGGAUAUUUAUCACUUCCCCAAUCAAUACUCUUGUAAUUUCUUAUGCCUGUCUUUACUUUAUUCUCUUAAUCACAUUAUCUUCUUAAGCUGAAAAUGUACGUCACCUCAGGACCACUAUUGUACAAAUGGAUUGUAAAACAUGUGUUUGAACAAUAUGAAAUCAAUGCACCCUGAAAAAGAACAGAAUAACAGUGAUUUUCAGGGAACAAAGGAAGAUAACCACAAGGUCUGACUGCCUGCGGGGUCGGGCAAAAUAGAGCCAUAUAUUUCUUCCUGCAGAAAGCCUAUAGAUGGACGUGCGAGUAGGAGAAAUAUCGCUGAAUUCUUUUCCCAGCAAGGAGUAACCCUGGGGAAGGAAUGCAUUCCUGGGGGUAGGUCUGUCUAUGGCCACUCUGGGAGUGUCUGUCUUAUGCGGUUGAGAUAAGGACUGAAAUAUGCCCUGGUCUUCUGCAGUACCCUCAGGCUUACUAGGAUUGGGAAAUUCCAACCUGGUAAAUUCUAGUCAGACCAGUUGUCUGCUCUCGAACGCUGUUUCCUGUUAAGAUGUUUAUCAAGACAAUGCAUGCACAGCAGGACAUAGACCCUCAUCAGUAAUUCUAAUUUUGCCUUGCCUUGUAAUCUUUAUCGCCCUUUGAAGCAUGUGAUCCUUGUGACCUACUCCCUGUUUGUACAACCCCUCCAGUUUUAAAAUCCCUAAUAAAAACUUGCUGGUUUUGUGGCUUGGGGUUGUCUUCGUGGUCCUACCAAUAUGUGAUGACACCCCCAGAGGCCCAGCUGUAAAAUUUCUCUCUUUGUACUCUUUCUCUUUAUUUAUCAGACUGGCUGACACUUAGGGAAAAUAGAAAGAAUCUACAUUGAAAUAUUGGGGGCUGGUUUCCCUGAUAAUUGUUCUAGAGUGUAGAUUAAGUCUGAUGUUUCUUUGUUGAUUUUCUGUCUGGGAAAUAUGUCCAAUGCUGAAUGUAAUAAAUAGUCUCCAACUAUUAU